rnacentral:rRNA from 1 species
UACGUAGGGCGCAAGCGUUAUCCGGAAUUAUUGGGCGUAAAGAGCUCGUAGGCGGUUUGUCGCGUCUGCCGUGAAAGUCCGGGGCUCAACUCCGGAUCUGCGGUGGGUACGGGCAGACUAGAGUGAUGUAGGGGGAGACUGGAAUUCCUGGUGUAGCGGUGAAAUGCGCAGAUAUCGGGAGGAACACCAGUGGCGAAGGCGGCUACCUGGACCGGCAUUGACGCUGAGGAGCGAAAGCCAGGGGAGCAAAGCGGG